rnacentral:tRNA from 1 species
GGAGAGGUGCCGGAGUGGUUAAACGGCCCUGACUCGAAAUCAGUGGAGGGAUAAAUCCCUACGUGGGUUCGAACCCCACCCUCUCCGCCA